rnacentral:rRNA from 1 species
AAUGAACGUUGGCGGCGUGGAUUAGGCAUGCAAGUCGAGCGAGAACCCGCAAGGGGGACAGCGGCAAACGGGGUAGUAAUGUGUCGGAACGUGCCCUCUGGACGGGGAUAGCGGCGGGAAACUGCCGGUAAUACCCGAUGAACUCGAGAGAGCAACGGUGUGGUUCCGCCGGAGGCGCGGCCGACAUGGUAUUAGCUAGUUGGCGGGGUAACGGCCCACCAAGGCUGUGAUGCCUAGGGGAUGUGAGAGCAUGAUCCCCACCAUUGGGACUGAGACACUGCCCAGACACCUACGGGUGGCUGCAGUCGAGAAUCUUCGUCAAUGGGCGAAAGCCUGAACGAGCGACGCCGCGUGCGGGAUGAAGGCCCUUGGGUUGUAAACCGCUGUCGAGGGGGAUGAAGGCUUGAAGGUACUCCUUCAAGUUUGACAGAGCCCAGAAGGAAGCACGGGCUAAGUUCGUGCCAGCAGCCGCGGUAAGAC